rnacentral:misc_RNA from 1 species
AACGCACAUUGCACUUUUUGGUAUUCCAGAAAGUAUACUCGUUCGAGCGCCGUUUCAAACUUGAAGCAAUAUUGCUUUGUGAUGAUUGCUUUGUGUUGACAAUGUUCUUGUAUCUAGAACUUGUUGAAACGUUUCUCAAGUGAGCACUUCUCCUGCCCCGCGUCGUAUGCAAUAAUACGAAAGCAAUGACAGGCCAAGGAAGUUGCCGGUCAAACCCCUCAUAGUUUGGCCUCGAAUCGAGUAGGGUUACCCGCUGAACUUAA